GUAUUAAGACACACAUACUCUAGGCCUUCCUCAGCCAUUAACCAGUUGCACGAUAUUGGGGGGGUUUUGUUGUUGUUGUUGUUUUAGCGUGGUUAAAAACAAAUUUUUGAUUUUUAAAGGUGGAGAUAAAAACACGUUCUUCUGGUGAAGUAGGACCUUUCGACCAAGAAUACAGAUUCAGGAACAGGUAGGUGGAUAGACAUGGAAGUACUACCUUUUCCUGCCAGACACUUGCUGGGCUAAGGAGAAAGGAGGGUCUUCUCCUUCAAGGGAGACUAGCCAUCUAGGUCUCUUCAUUCAAUUCCAAGUGUGAUGUGCCCCCUCGGGUAUUAAGGUGACAGGAUUCCACUACCUAAGAGGAAGGUGGAGGUGUGGUCUGGGUGGAGGUACAGUACCAAUGUCCAGGCACUUUCUUCUAUGUUGCAGGCUGAGCAACACCUGGCCCUACUGACAGUGGCCAGGGACUCACUGACUGGGCUGCAUGGGCACAGAAACAACUCACCUGUCCUCUCAGUCACACCCUAGUCCUUCAAAUACAGCAGCUACUACACUACAAAUUUCUUGCAUGUUCUUAUUGGUGAUCUGGGGCUUAUUCACUCCGGCAGGUUAAGGGAGAACCUGGAGGCAAGUGUUUGCUUGAAAAGGCAGGUCCCGUGGGGGGUUGUUUGAUUUAGGUUCAAUUUUUAAGUGUUCACCACUUGGGUUAUAUUUCUGUCAAUAAAAGACCAUAUUCUAAACCUUAGUUUGUACAGCUGCAAGACAAUGAUAGAAUUAGGAACCACUCAACAUCCACAGCAGGAUGUUCAUGAGACCCUCAAAGACGAUGCUUAGGAAGGUUCUCAGAUGAAUUUGUGUUACUUUACCAAUCAAAGGCUGCUCCAGUUUCAGUGUUCUAACAUUAAAAUGCUAAUCACACUGGAUAUUCAUUACAAUAUAGCCUGUGUGAAGGGUAAUAACUCUUCAAUUUUAUGACCCUGAAGAAAAGUUUAGUGAUCUGUUCCUACAGCCAAACUUCUCUUCGUUCCAGAAGUCAUGAUGGGCAGAACAAAUGUGGACCCAUGACAUGGUCCUGACGUUAGGAAGUAAACAUCACAUGAUGGCCUGUACGUGAGUAUGAAAUGUGAGAGUCAAGUCAUUCUUUAACCCCUUCUGUCAUAUAUAAAGCCCUUUAUUAAUGGGCUCUGCCAAGAUGGGGUCUUUACUACUAAAAAGACAGAAAAUUUGGACCGGGUCCAGAGGAGAACAUGACAAUUGUUAAUGACUUAGAAAAAGGACCUAUGAAGAAAGGUCAAAGACACUCAGAACUUUUCAGAGAGGAGUUAAGUGUCUUUCCAAUUUGAAAAUGGGUAAUUAACCAUCAGGGAACACAAAAGCAAGAAGAGUAGUCUGGCUGUUCAAGUUGUCAAACAUUAGAAGUUUCCGAGAGAAAAUGUGGACACUUAUCUGGAGGGGUUUGUGAGUUUGACAGUCUUUGGUUGGAUGGCUUCAGUCUCCUAUUUAUCUCAAGUCAUUGGCUUCAAUGCAUGGACCCCUUGAGGUCAUUUAGAAAGGGGUGGUUAGGCUUAUCGGAAGGUAAAUAUAUGCUCUCCAUGUCAGACUUAGAGCUGGAACCCAAGACUAGAAACUGAGACUCUGUUUUUUCAUUCUGAUAGCCAACCUGUCAUGUCCUUAUGUAAUCUGUUGAAAUAAAAAUCUACCCAGUUCAAAAAAAUCAUUUGAAAACUCAAUUUCAGUUUUAGAUCUUUCUGAGAGGCACUCUGUUUAAUGUCCCACACGUACUUGCUGAACACACUCUGAAUUCACCCCACACAUUCUUUUUUUGGCCACACCUGCGGCAUGUGGAAGUUCCUGGGCCAGGGAUCAAACCCACACCAGAGCAGUGACAACACCACAUCCUUAACCUACUGCACCACAAGGGAACUCCCAUAUCUGAACUUUUCUUAAGCUACUCUCCUUUCUUCUAGGAAUGCUUUUGUUCAAACCUUCCAUCUGUUAAAAUACUACUAUUUUAUUUCCUAUUCCUCAAGGCCAAUUCAGUUGGCAUUUCCUCCAAGUAAACUCCUUAGUUCUCUUCUUCCAUUCUGCUGGAACUAAUCUCUCCCAUAUGCACAUAUGGAAGGAGAGCUUCUAUUGCAUUUUGUACCUUUAUUUCACUUCUGCUUUUGAAAAUAGAUGCUCGGUUAUUUAUUUGCUUCUCUUCUAGAGACCAAGUUUCUUGAGGACAAGAGAAAUUAUUCAUUCUUCUACUCCCCAUGGCACUGUGCAUAGAAUAAAUAGUAAUAUUUCUCAGGAAAUAGCCUCUGCAAUGAUGGAUGUUAUGAGUUCUUGUACAUUCUGUUCUUCAAGACUGGGAUACGCUGUCUCAGCCUAAGAAAAGUAGGCUGGUUUUCUUUUUCAAAACUCUGCGUAAGACUUAUAGUCUCAAUGGAUAAGCAAUGAGAUUCUGCUGUAUAGCCCAAGGAUCUAUAUCUGAUCACUUGUGAUGGAAAAUGAUGGAGGAUAAGGUGAAAAAAGAAUGUGUGUGUGUGUAUAUGUAUUAUAUAUAUAUUACAUAUAUAUAAUAUAUAUAAAACUAGGUCACUGCUAUACAGCAGAAAUUGACAGAACAUUGUAAAUCACCUCUAAUGAAAAAAUUUAAAAAAAAAAAGACUUAUAGUCUCAAUUAUAAUCUUGGAAACUAAUCUCACUGACUCAUUGGUUCGCAUUAUUCUAGACUCUAGACCAAAAUCUACUUUAGUUACCCAUUGCUGCAUAAUAAAUUACCCCAGCCUUUAGUGGCUUAAAACCCAUAUUGUCUCCCAGUUUCUGUGGGUCAAGAAUGGAGGCCUGACCUAGCUGGCCUUCUGCUUCCUAUCUCUCCCUGAUCGCAAUGGAGGUGUCUGUCCGGGGUCUGCAGCUUCUUCUGCAACAUCAGCUGGGGAAGGAUGAAUCCCCCAUGUGG
ensembl:lncRNA